rnacentral:lncRNA from 1 species
AAAUCCCUUCAAAUUGGUCAAAUUACAUCAUUACCAACAUGUGGUUUGUCUGAGUGGUUAAUAUGUAAGAUUUACCUUGUGCAGCAACUAUGGUUACAUGAAUAGUUGGUUCCCAUAGGAGUUUUUAAGAGGUAAUUGUGUUAGAUGUGUGGAGUUUUUACGGGAUCUCCUGCUGGCCGUGUUCUUAGCUUUCUGUUUGGUCUU